CCUCGCUCUUCAUGAACAAGAUAAAACAGUGAAUUCAAUGUAAGAAUACGGCCAGCACCAUUGAAUCCAAGGGACCCAACAGGCAAGUGCAAUAGCCAAUUCCAGCUUUUAGAUUAUGUGUGCAGGGGGUGAUGGUAUCAUAUUGCUGAUAAUGCUGAAAAAUAGAAAUGGUAGCCAUGUAAACAUGGAGUGAUAGCUAUUGUAAAUAUUGAAAUAUUUUGGUUGUUUAGGCAGUUUAUUAAAAUUUUUCAGCAUAAUCAGGAAUAUGAUACCUUACUUCCCGUCACCCCCUGCAUGCAUAAAUUAAAAGCUGGAAUUGCCUAUUGAUCUAGACUAUGGAACUGUAUGGACACAUGUUGUUUAUAUUGCUUCUGAACUAUGCAAGUAUUUGCACCCACUAAUUGCUGCAGGAGAUGUCCUGGAUGUCUAUGUUCUGUGUAUCAAGUAUAGGGUUGACUUUUUUAAAAUAGGAUUUUAUCCAAAAAUUUUCAUAAAGACACCUGGUGAGUGGAGACUCGAGUAGUAGGAAAAAGCAUGAGUGUAUGUUGACAUAUGUUUUUUAUAUAAUAAAUAGCAACUACCAUAGGUAUGUUUAGCAAGUUAUUAGUGCAUUUAUUUCAAUUGGCUAACUUUUUUAGUUUUUCCAGCAUUUUUUAAACAAAUCAUAGGUUAUGAAUGAUAACUGGGUAUAUCUAAGUAAAACAAUCUGUCAUGUACACUCAUGCAAAUAAGACCAAGUAUGUACAUAAAUAACUGUAAAAAAUGUACUUUAGUAAAUAAACUUAUGAAAAAUUAAUUCAUACACUUGACCUACUUUGUGAGUAUUUUUUCAGAUUAAAAUUAAUGCAACAAUAAAACAAGAAGAUGUCUAUUUAUAUAAUAUUUAUUAAAUUGAUCAGAGAUCCCACUUCAGCUCAGAAAAAGAUCCCACAAUAUAAUAACAUGCCACUUAAUUUGUUAUAUGAUACAUAAAAACUUGUUUAUUGUUUUAAAACAAGUGAAGCUCUCUGCUGGUUUGAAAUGGACUGUUAUGACACUGAUUUGUCCUGGAUUGUCCAUGCUGAG